rnacentral:rRNA from 1 species
CCUCAGGUCAGGCGGGAGCACCCCUGAAUUUAAGCAU